rnacentral:rRNA from 1 species
AACGAACGCUGGCGGCAGGCUUAACACAUGCAAGUCGAGCGCCCCGCAAGGGGAGCGGCAGACGGGUGAGUAACGCGUGGGAAUCUACCCAUCUCUACGGAAUAACGCAUGGAAACGUGUGCUAAUACCGUAUACGUCCUUCGGGAGAAAGAUUUAUCGGAGAUGGAUGAGCCCGCGUUGGAUUAGCUAGUAGGUGGGGUAAAGGCCUACCAAGGCGACGAUCCAUAGCUGGUCUGAGAGGAUGAUCAGCCACACUGGGACUGAGACACGGCCCAGACUCCUACGGGGGGCAGCAGUGGGGAAUAUUGGACAAUGGGCGCAAGCCUGAUCCAGCCAUGCCGCGUGAGUGAUGAAGGCCCUAGGGUUGUAAAGCUCUUUCACCGGUGAAGAUAAUGACGGUAACCGGAGAAGAAGCCCCGGCUAACUUCGUGCCAGCCGCCGCGGUAACAC